CUGCAGUCGAGCGACUGAUUAGAAGCUUGCUUCUAAGACGUUAGCGGCGGACGGGUGAGUAACACGUGGGCAACCUGCCUGUAAGACUGGGAUAACUUCGGGAAACCGAAGCUAAUACCGGAUAGGAUCUUCUCCUUCAUGGGAGAUGAUUGAAAGAUGGUUUCGGCUAUCACUUACAGAUGGGCCCGCGGUGCAUUAGCUAGUUGGUGAGGUAACGGCUCACCAAGGCAACGAUGCAUAGCCGACCUGAGAGGGUGAUCGGCCACACUGGGACUGAGACACGGCCCAGACUCCUACGGGAGGCAGCAGUAGGGAAUCUUCCGCAAUGGACGAAAGUCUGACGGAGCAACGCCGCGUGAGUGAUGAAGGCUUUCGGGUCGUAAAACUCUGUUGUUAGGGAAGAACAAGUACGAGAGUAACUGCUCGUACCUUGACGGUACCUAACCAGAAAGCCACGGCUAACUACGUGCCAGCAGCCGCGGUAAUACGUAGGUGGCAAGCGUUAUCCGGAAUUAUUGGGCGUAAAGCGCGCGCAGGCGGUUUCUUAAGUCUGAUGUGAAAGCCCACGGCUCAACCGUGGAGGGUCAUUGGAAACUGGGGAACUUGAGUGCAGAAGAGAAAAGCGGAAUUCCACGUGUAGCGGUGAAAUGCGUAGAGAUGUGGAGGAACACCAGUGGCGAAGGCGGCUUUUUGGUCUGUAACUGACGCUGAGGCGCGAAAGCGUGGGGAGCAAACAGGAUUAGAUACCCUGGUAUCCACGCCGUAAACGAUGAGUGCUAAGUGUUUAGAGGGUUUUCCCCCCCUUUAGUGCUGCAGCUGACGCAUUAAGCACUCCGCCUGGGGGAGUACGGUCGCAAGACUGAAACUCAAAGGAAUUGACGGGGGGCCCGCACAAACGGUGGAGCAUGUGGGUUUAAUU
rnacentral:rRNA from 1 species